GAAACCUCUUUGGUGCCACCUUUCUGGUUCCUUAUGCAGAGGAGCAGGAGAGCUUGGAAUAAACCUUGAGAUGCUGCAUACAAAUACCGGCAGUCCCCAAGUUACAAACAAUCUCUCUCUCUGUUCCUCCUUCCUUCCCUCCUUCCCUCUCUGCAGCAGCCAGGCAUCAAAGGCCUCCUGAGUAUUCCUGCUCUGCAGUGUCACAGCAUAUGUGCAGCAUACAAGAUGGGGAGAACUCUGCGAACAUUUGACUUCAAGAAAGGGCUCAGCCUCUGCGCAGCUCAUUUACACUUUAGACAGCCAACACAUUCUCCUUUGAAAAUCUCCAACACUCACCCAGCCUAGAAGGGACUUUAACCACAGGAAAGCAAACAUGCUGGAACAGAGUGGGGGACAAAGGCCAGCUCCUUGGUUUUUGUUCAUAGAGGAGCCAGGAUGAUUACACAAUGCUCCAUCACCUGCUUCUGGGAUUAAGCAGAUCUGUUACAUCCUUGUGUACUCUUUGCUUCAAAAUAAUCAAAAGGAGACAAAGAACAGGAGUGUUUGGAGUUGCUUUGAUUAAAUGGCCAUGAAAGCACCCAGCCAAAAGCUGCCUUUGUUCUGCCCACUGCCAAUCUUACUUGGCUAAGUAAUGUCAGUACUUUCUGUGCUCUCUGACCACUGCCCUGGGAAUGAAUGGCCGCUCUGAUUUGGCAGGACUGUCACUCACGUAAUCAUGAAGGGAGGGCAAGAGGGGGAGGCAAAGGAAUCCUUUGCACAAUACCUUUCUGUGAGUAGCCAGUCAUGGGAAAGGCUUGCUUUUGCAAGGAGGACAGUUUCAGUGCUGGAAUAGGGAUAUUCCUUCAUUUGUCGGUGCCAGAGUUGAGGGGUACAGAUGCAAAUCUACUAUGCAUUUCCUAUGAUUGGGGAAGGAUUGAGGAUUUCCCCCCAUAAUGCAUUUAGUUGUUAUUCUUAUUACACAGAGCUGCAAUUGUGCAUACAUUGUUCCUAUGGCUAAGGAUAUAGCUCAGAGAAGUUCUUGUUUUGGACAACAGCUUCUAGAAUUCCUGUUGUAAAGCCAGUAACUACAUCAGCUGAGGAAUUCUAGGAGCUGUAUUUUUUUUAAAAAAAGAUUCCCCCCCCCCCCAAAGUCUAGAGGGAAAGUUUGAAUAUUACCCAACCCCAUGAAGGUCAUCAAGCCUCACUUUUUCACAACAGCUCUCUGUUAUGGCCUCGGCCUUGCUCAACAAAAAAGAAGGAAGAUCUUUCCAAAACAUUGGCUUCAGAGAUGAAACAGGUUUCUGGCACUAAGCCAGGACCUGCCAAGAAAGAAAAUGGAGGCUACAAAGAAGUCUAGAUCAAAGAUCAAGCCUUGGAACCUACAGUCUCACCCACUGAUACCCAUUGUGUAGGUGUGUGAGCACUGCUGUUCAAGUGUUGGCUUCAUGCUGCAAUUGAUCAGGCUUGGCAACAAUGUUAGACCAAACAGAAACUUCUCUGGGGCCAGAGACAGUCUCUUUCUGAUCCAUUGGAAGAGGUGUCUCUAAGAUUCUCACCUGCUCAUGCCCCAACUGGCAUAACUGUGCCCAGAACAUUAGAACCAGUGGCUCCCAAAAUGCCACCCUCUCUUUGCUUAUCACACUUGGGAAAAAAUGCUACCAAUUCUUGACAAGUUAUGGGAAGAGAGACUACAAGCCCCCCCACCCUCGUUCUUGACACAUGGCUAUAAAAGAAGUGUGUGUGUUGUUAUUUGUGUGCAUGCAGCACCAAAAGCAGCGAGUGACCAAUAGUCAUUGUGAAUAUUGUCGUAUUUGGUCAGUUGUACCAUUGAUCAUCUAGCAUUGCCAGCCUGCACCUUCCUUUAAAUUGCAGAAGUCAAAUGCCUCCUCUAACAGUGCCUCUCCAGGAGUCCAUUGAAAGACAUGUCAGGCACAUGGUCCUUUAGAAGUAUUUACUUUGGCAGAAAAUUGGUAUCAGUAAGAACUUUAUUCCCAGUACACACAGUACCCUCAGAGAAGGAUUUUUCCUUCAAAUCACUGCAGGGGAGAACAGAGCUAAAUUCUCUCUCCCUACCUUGAAGGCAUAUAUACACAUACCUAUUGAAAUAUGAUAAUGAUCACAUACCCUUCAACAUUUCACAGAAGAAAACUGAGAAACAUGUGUCCAGGAAUAUCAGAAUGUGAUCAAUGUGAACAAUUUACUUUUGCCUGAACUGAAGAGAGCAAGAUAUCACCCUGCUUCUCCCCUUCCCUCUCCGCUGAGUGGAUUGAGUACAAAUUACUUUUGCAUGUUGACCUCAGUUUGCUGUAGCUGAAAUAAGUAAAGGAUGAAGGCAAAAGUGGGAGGAGCAAAGAGUAAUGGGUAUAUUUACAAAGCAGCUGGAAAAGGAAGAUAACAAACGAAUGAUUAAGAAUGUUCCUGCUAAAUCAGGAUGGUUGGAGUGUAUGAAAAAGUAAAAAGUGCACUUUGUUGUACUUUUUACAAGAUGUGUGUUUGACUAUUGACUUAAGAAUUUAUGAAUUCCAUAGGAUUUUCAUGGACAAAGAAUAUUCAGAAGUGGUUUGACCAGUUCAUUCCUCUGACAUAGAACCUAUCAUAGUUGUUAUUAGCUGGGGGGUCUUCUAAUCAAAUACUAACUUGGUAGUCUAUUGCAAGGAGGUGAUGAACCAGCACAAUAUUGUGUAAUGCCCAAUACUCAUUGCUAAUCUAUCAUCUCCCCACUAUGGAACUAUCUAGGGCAGAGUUUAUCAAACUAUGCUCCUCCAGGUCUUUUGGACUUCAGCUCCUACUGACAGCUGGUAAGCUGGCUGGGAUUUCUGGGAGCUGAAUUCCAAAACAUGUGGAGUAGGACAGUUUGAGAAAUACUGACUAGGUUAUAGCCUCUUAUUGGGCCACUGUCCUAGGACUUACCUUGUACAAUGAGUCAAGGUGCAUCCCUUGCUCUAUUUUUUAAUUUAUGAAGUGUCUGUAAAAUAACAACAAUGGUAAAAAACAAGGAAGAAAAGCAGCACGGUGGUAGGGUGGAGUUACACCAUCCAUCCAAGUGAGCUGAUUGUAUUGUAGAACUGAUCCUGCUUGACUUCCAAGAUCAGACAAGAUCUGGUUAGUGCCUUUAAGACAUUUAUGUGCAUGCAAAAUCAAAUUGUUGUUUGACACAGAAUUCAAAUAUAUCUUUCACAAAUCA